rnacentral:rRNA from 1 species
UUUAAUUGAAGAGUUUGAUCAUGGCUCAGAUUGAACGCUGGCGGCAGGCCUAACACAUGCAAGUCGAGCGGCAGCGACAUAAACAA